GAGAUCAGCUGGUAGAGCAUGAGACUCUUCAUCUUAAGGUUGUGGGAUCAAGCCCCAUUCCUGCAUCG